rnacentral:sRNA from 1 species
AUGUACCACGCGUAUGCUCCGUUCCUCCGCGCCGUCCGCACCCACCUGACGACUGCGCGCUACGUUUUGUUAGCC